UGUGUGUUUCAGGUCUUUGUC
rnacentral:siRNA from 1 species